rnacentral:rRNA from 1 species
GACGAACGCUGGCGGCGUGCCUAACACAUGCAAGUCGAACGGAAAGGCCCUGCUUUUGUGGGGUGCUCGAGUGGCGAACGCGUGAGUAACACGUGAGUAUCCUGCCCUUGACUUUGGGAUAACUUCAGGAAACUGGGGCUAAUACCGGAUAGGAGCUCUUGCUGCAUGGUGGGCGAUGGAAAGUUUCGGCGGUAGUGGAUGGACUGGCGGCCUAUCAGCUUGUUGGUGGGGUAGUGGCUUACCAAGUGUUCGACGGGUAGCCGGCCUGAGAGGGGGACCGGGCACAAUGGGCCUGCGGGAGGGAGCAGAAUCGUACCGGAGGCAGUGGUGGAGAGUAUGGCGGAAUGGGCGGAAGCCUGAUGCGGCAACGCCGCGUGCGGAAUGCCCGCCUUCGGGUUAUGAACCGCUUUCGAAGGUGACAUGGAGUGAGUGACGGUAACGGGUAAAAAAGCACCGGCUAACUACGUG